ensembl:misc_RNA Metazoa_SRP Metazoan signal recognition particle RNA
GCCAGGUAAGGUGGCACACACCUAGCUGUGGUCCCAGCUAUUCAGGAGGUUGAGGUGGGAGGAUCGCUUGAGCCCAGGAUAUCUAGGCUAUAGUUCUGGGCUACGCCAAUCGGGUAUCCACACUAAAUUCCACAUCAAUAUGGUGACCUCUUGGGAACGGGCGACUACCAAGUUGCCUAAGGAGGGGUGAACCGGCCCAAGUCAGAAACGGAGCAGGUCAAAACUCCCAUGCUAGUCAGUACUGGGAUGCACCUGUGAAUACCACUGCAUUCCACUCAGGGCAACAUAGCAAGACCUCAUCUCUU